CAAGCACAGCGCGUUCCAGGUUGAGAUGACGACGUGCUGGACGGAUGCUUGCUGCCGGAGGAUGUUGCGCACUUCUAUUUACUUCACGAGUGAGAGUGUGCAUAUUUGGGACAGGAGCCGGUGAGAGCAGAUGAGACGAGGUUUGAAUUUAACACAGGAUCAGGUAAACAGGCAUGUAUGUUUGUUUGUUUACCUUCUUUUGUUUCUUUUUGCGUAUCAGUGAAAUAGGCACCUUUCCAAGAGCUUUGAAAAGUGGCACUGGCACAAGACGUAUAUGAUGAAAUUCAUACCAUGAGAACUUUACUUCAAAUCUAAUGCUUUUUUUUAUAGUAUACAUAGGAUAUAUGAUGUAAAUUUAAAGUUGUAUAUGGAAAUUUAUUUCUGAUUUAAUUUCUUCUAUAUUGUUCGGAAGGACUAACAGAAUUUUCUUUCAAUGAUUACACAAGAUAAUAAUGAAUACAUUCGAUAAGCGUCACACGGCAAAAUUUUCUGUGACUGAUUAGCAACAUCCCACAUUUAAAGGGCCCACAUCUAUUAUUGUUGUUGUCCAAGCUGGUGAUGUCCCUUUAAAAGCCGGGUGCUGUCAGGUGAUGGAAGAGGCUCGGCCUUACUUUAGAGUGACGCGUCAGAAUGUGUCUCUUGCAAAGAGAGAGAAAGAGAGUGAGACAAUCCAAAGAGGUGAUAAAGGGGGUGGGGGGGGGAGCAAGGACAGCAAAGUCAUGGAGAAGAGAGCAGGGAAAUGUGCUGUUUUGGUCCCUUUAAAGAUCUUAUGCUCUUGCUCAGCUAGCGAUUUUGUCUCAGUGUGAUGGAGCAGCUAACAGUGAUACAGAAGCACUGAGAAUUAAAUGCUGCGUCACACUCGGAAAGAGGAACGGCGCGAGCGUGCGCGAGGCUGUGCGCACGCGCGCACGCAUCUGUGUGGAGUCUGAUCACUUUGUGUGUAUUUGUGCUGAAAGUGGCAGGCUAAUUGUAGUCGGGCUGUUGUGAGCAGAUGAAAAUAAAGCCAGCGAGAUGCUGCGAGGGAGGGAGCGAGGGCAAGCGAGUCAGACACAGGAGAGAGAAAUGGCUUUUUUUUUUUUUUUUUGGAUUAGUUGCUACGUCACUUUUUUUCAUGUCCGGACAUAACAAAAAGCUGUGUUAACAGGAGCCCACCGUCAUGGAGUUUUCCACGUGGAGUGGACGUUGUGGUUUCGGCCAGACGAGGCUUCCUCAUCUUCCUUCUCCUUGGUAGUUGUGAUGUGUUCUUCCCAUCACCAGCUACUAAAUGUGCCUGUUUGUGCGUGCUGUGUAGCUCCAGCGAGCCGGCAACCCGAGUUUCAACAUGGAUGCUGAAGAUGUACCACAAUUGUUUUGAUAGGAUGCGGCUCCAGCUGAAAUCGGGCCGACCCGAGGGUUAAACGGCACGCUCUUCUGGAAGCUACAAUGGUCGAGCACGGAUGUUUGAUCGAGAACUGUCGGGCUGUGGGAGCAUGGCUUCUUUUUUUUUUUUUGCCACAUGAUCUGGAAGGUGACUACAGUCACAUCUGAUCUCGUACGGCCUCAGGUGACGCCAUGUUUGUUCACGCCUUCGUCGCGUGGGUGUGUCUGACAAGAAGGACAAAGUUGGUAGCGCUCGAGUGGAGAGGCGGAGGGAGUCAAGCACGGAUGAAAAACCGGUCGAGGUCCCGCUCUGCAAUUAGAUAACAGAUUGGCGUCUGUGGUCAUGUGACAUGUUUUCACCUCGCAGGGCUGCUGGGAUUUGCUCAAAUUCUUUCUAAGACGCAUUCGCUCCUGCGUAGUUAGACAAGGCGGCGGUGGUGACGCAGUUCUUUUUGGGCUGGACUUCUCGUCACCUUGUUUGGCUCGCUCCCACUUCCUCUCUCUCUGUCUCUCUCUCUCUCUCUCUCUCUCUCUCUCUCUCGCUCUAUCAUGGAGAGGAGCAGUGGGAGGGGCUAAAUGUCACAUCUCAGGAUGAGGGAGAGAAAGCGCUGGAGCUAAAGGGAGAAGGCAAGGGAAGCUGUUAACCCUGCUGUCCUGUUGACUCUGCUUUGGUUUCACUCCCGUUCAAUUCCUAAAAUCGUUGCCGCAUCACACGCCGCGGUGCCAAAUGGCGCUCUUGUUGGAUCCGAGUCGCCAUGCUGGCUUUCCGAGGUGCGUAGCGCAGCACAAUUGGGUGGCUGAUGGAGUUCAGCCAUCGAUUGAUCCAGAAUCACUUCUUUCAGUGAAAGGUUUUGAAGUUUGAGAGACGCCUGUAGUCCAGGGGCGUAGUCAGAAUUUUUCUCUAGGGUGGCCUGAGUGGCCAUACCGUUUGCAUUUUUAUAACCACCUUUGGAACUGAAAAGUCAGGAGCAUACCAUCCACAGGAAAGGUCUCAUCAAGUGCCCACGUAUGCCCAACAUGCUCAUAAUACAAGCAGAGACAAAAGCAACAUUUUGCUGACAUUAAUUUAUUAAAUAAUGCCAUUUUCUUUGCCACUGCUUUAUAGUCUACCUUAUCUCAUACACUGAUUCGCUCGUCAUUUGUCACCGAUGGCCGACAACAUUUUGCAUACGACAGUUAACGUCUCAUUCAUUCAAAUCAUGUCUAGAAAGCACAAUGACUUUAAAAUGGCUUAAAUAUUCACAACUGUAAACAUUGCUUUGAACUCUGGUCUGUUUUUGCUUGCAUUACAAGUAUCUUGCAUUAUUUGAUCCAUCUGUGAAUUGUAUUUCAGUAUGUCAAAAGCUUCUACUGGAUGUGAUGCUGGCCCUGGCCACCAUGUAGCUCCGCCCUGCUAAUUUAUGAUACUACAUUUGAAACCUAUUGUUUGUCUUUCAGUUUCCUUGUAUCCUUGUUUAAGUCCUGACUUGAAUGAGAUCUAGGCAGCUGAGUUGUGUUUGCAAAGUCAUUAUGGUCAUACAUAACUAGAAGGGCAGAAAGCCGAGUCGACUCUAAACUUUGACUUUGAACUAGGUACGCAUUUGUGUAAACUGGAUUCUGCAUUUGCCACGAUCCCAUUUUGACCGCCGGCCUCGCUACGAAGGCCUGCUGUCUCUUUAAAUGUUUUAUAAGCGUUACACAACCGGUCCAGUCGCACACAAACAUCAAGCAGGCACAACGGAGCGUGAUAGUCGUGUACAGUCAGCCAAGCGAAGAAGCCGGUCACCUUACAUAUACAUUGUUAGAUGUGCGGCAAUUAUGUAAACACACAUAAUAUAGUGUAUAUGACCUCGCAAACAACUCAAAAAGAACAAGGCUUGGCCUGUUCCAUCUGAUGCGUGAUAAGUACCCUUUUGUCUUUCAUCUUACUGUGAAAAUAAAUAGCGGAUGUUUUUAGGUCGACUUGCUUUACUUCCUUUGUUUGACUUUGAGCGGUGUUUAAACCAAGAGCUAUUUGAGGGAGUCGUCGCUCAACGCACACAAAAUAGACAGAGUGCUUGUAGGUGUGUUUUCAGAAGGGAUUGUUUAUCAGUAGUCCUUUUAGAAAGAGGUGAGUUGAUUAACAUUUUGAAGCCACUCGGUGUGCUGACGAUACCUGGGCUGGCCCCGCCUUCUCUCACUAUGUUAUUGAGUGUGCAUCAUGGCUCCUGUUGCCAACCAUUGAUUUGUACUUCCUUGUGAUCGCAGAGACUGGAAAGCUUCGCUCGUUAAUCUUCUUGAUUUGCCUUCUUGAUGAUCCCACUCCCGUCUGCUCUAACUUUUUAUCCUGCUCUGUCGCAAUUCAGUGAUUAUAGGUAAAGUUGACUCCCAUCCCAAACAGACUACUCCCCCUAAAAUGUCAGUUUCUAUUUUAGAUCAAAACAUAAAUAUUAGGUUCAGAAUUCCAUCUUUUAUUUUUAACAUUUAUUUCGAUUUGUAAAUAGUAGCUGGAAUUAUGAAUUUAUACAAAUAAAACAAAGGAAUUUACCUUGCCGUUCCAAUACUUUUGGGCCGGACUGAAGAGUUAGAUCAUGGUAUUACAUUUCUUGCCACUAGUGUCCAUCUGCAGCUCCCAUUUAAAUGUCUACUGUUGAGAAAACAGCCAAAAAUGGUUAACAAAAAGCUUCAAAGUUGCACUUUCUGGUGCCUGUGGGAAUUUAUUUGGUUUACACAGACCACCUCCCACUGAGAGGGUUGCUAGUUUGCUCUUUAAGUGUGUCUGAUAAAGCAAAUCACGAAUCUUUUUGGUGUUAGUUGGCUAUUUUGUCAUUGUUGUAAUUCUUCAAGGUUCAAGAGUGACUGUUUUUACCACAUUCUAGGAUGUUCCUGGUCUGAAAUGCCCCCCUUGGAAGCUGGCUUCAGAUGGUGGCUUAGAGUAUUGUCAUCCAUCUAGCACCAUUUGAAAUCAGUAUUCUUGGGGUGGGAGGUGAGUCACCUGCCAGUAAAAGUCAGCAGUGCCGGGAAAAGUUCCACUCAAUCAGCAUCAAGUUGCCAGUGAUGAUUUGGCAGCCGGAGCCCUUUGUCCUUUCUCCAAGGUUGACCGGUUUCUUCUGGCGCUCAGAGUCUGCUCUUGUUUCUAGCACCAUUUGAAAUCGGUUACAGUGAAGGACGCAUCUCGUCGCACCUUGAACCAAUGGAAACGUCAACAUUACUCUGAUAACUGAUUCAGACCAAGUUAGACUUUAUCCACACACAUUUGAUGACGUGGACGACUCCAGUAAUAUAAUUGAAAACUGGAUUCAGCAAUGUUUUAAUGUUCAUUUAACACAAAAAUGUCUGCUAUUCCUACAAUCAAUUUGAACUAAUGUGUAAACAGUAAUAAAAUUAUGUUUGCCAGUGA